GGGACUGGUUAAAACAGCUAAGGAAUGAGGGAUCAGUGUGAUUGAAACAUAUGUGUUCUGGAAUGGCCAUGAACUUUCUCCAGGCAAUUAUUACUUUGGGGGAUGGUACGAUCUUCUCAAGUUUGUGAAGAUUGUUUAGCAGGAUGGGAUGUAUUUGAUUCUCCGUUUUGGUCCAUUUGUUGUAGCAGAAUGGAAUUUCGGUAUCACAUGCAGAAGUUCAUGACACUUGUAGUGAACAUAAUGAAGAAAGAGAAGCUUUUGCAUCUCAAGGAGGUCCUAUAAUCUUGGUGCA